rnacentral:rRNA from 1 species
AUGGCGGAUCCAGUCACCAUUGGUGCUACUGUAGGAUGGGGUGUGUCCGCUGUAGGUUGGCUCGUCUCGCCCAUCAUUUCUAGACUCCUUAACAAAGCUUUCGCCCACCUCGACUUCGAUGCAACGGAGAAGAUGAAUAUACUUGAUAUGCAACUUUUACAACUGCAGCGGGUGACGGAAGUAGUCGACGACAGCACUUACAGGGUUCGCUUGGAGCCACUGUUAGACAAGCUCCGAUCUGCUGUCUACGAAGCCGAAGACAUCUUGGAUGCUCUUGAAUAUCAGCGUCUCGAGAAACAGAUCCAAGAUGCCAACUCAGCCAGCAGUAAGAUGGAUUCGCUGAAGAAGACUCUUCGGUCUGCCAUGCCGAGAUCCCUACUAAAAGAUAAGAUAGAUGGCUCGUGCUGUUGUUCCGUUGAAUUUUAA